GAUGAAGAACGCAGCAAAAUGCGAUAAGUAAUGUGAAUUGCAGAAUUCAGUGAACCAUCGAAUCUUUGAACGCACAUUGCGCCCGCCAGUAUUCUGGCGGGCAUGCCUGUUCGAGCGUCAUUUCAACCCUCAAGCUCAGCUUGGUGUUGGGACUCGCGGUAACCCGCGUUCCCCAAAUCGAUUGGCGGUCACGUCGAGCUUCCAUAGCGUAGUAAUCAUACACCUCGUUACUGGUAAUCGUCGCGGCCACGCCGUAAAACCCCAACUUCUGAAUGUUGACCUCGGAUCAGGUAGGAAUACCCGCUGAACUUAAGCAUAUCAAUAAGCGGAGGA
rnacentral:misc_RNA from 1 species